UGGGGAAUUUUGGACAAUGGGCGAAAGCCUGAUCCAGCCAUGCCGCGUGAGUGAAGAAGGCCUUCGGGUUGUAAAGCUCUUUCAGCCGGAAAGAAAUCGCGCAGGAUAAUACUCUGCGUGGAUGACGGUACCGGAAGAAGAAGCACCGGCUAACUACGUGCCAGCAGCCGCGGUAACACGUAGGGUGCGAGCGUUAAUCGGAAUUACUGGGCGUAAAGCGUGCGCAGGCGGUUAUGCAAGACAGAGGUGAAAUCCCCGGGCUCAACCUGGGAACUGCCUUUGUGACUGCAUAGCUAGAGUACGGUAGAGGGGGAUGGAAUUCCGCAUGUAGCAGUGAAAUGCGUAGAUAUGCGGAGGAAUACCGAUGGCGAAGGCAGCCCCCUGGGAUAACACUGACGCUCAUGCGCGAAAGCGUGGGGAGCAAACA
rnacentral:rRNA from 1 species